AGAGAGAGAGAGAGAGAGAGAGAGAGAGAGAGAGAGAGAAAAGAACAAUAAUAAAUAAAGUACACAAAUUUUUUAUCUUCCAUAUUGAGCAUUGGAUUUUUAACCAGUCAUUUCUAUAAUAUAUACCUAUGAGUCUACUGUACAAAAUCACUUUUUUUUUCUUUUAUAUGUUAUACAAUAUAUGUGUAUAAUUAAUAAUUACACCACAAAAGCAGUAUUUAUUUUUUCCAAGUUAGCAGUUUCAUUCUUCAUGCUAGAAAUCUAGCACCUAUACAUUUUUUAAUAAUAUAUUCCAUUUGAAAGCCCUAAAAGUAAUUUUAUUUUAUGUUUAAAACAAAUUCUUCGUCCCAACUUUAAAACUGCUAAUUCAUACAUUAACAUCACAUGAAUUUUUUUAAAAAUAUUAAAUUUAUAAUAUUUAAUUUUUUAUUUGUCUUAAAACAUUCUGAGAAAAUUGAGAGGUAAUUUAUUCAGCAUAAGCGGAAGAUAAUUGGAACAACCUUGAUGUUAAAAAGACAUACAAUUAAAAACAUACACAAAAUAGCUUAAAAAUGGGUUUAGGAAAACUAUCAAAUAUUUUAAUCUUUUUUUUUGUUUUUUUGCAGUGGUAACGUACAAAACUUCAGACAAAAUUUGAGUCACUCCACACUGUUGUGAAAUGUUUAGAAAUAAUGUUGAUGACUAUUUUUGAAUGCCUGGCAGUCAAGUGUAAAAAUAAAACAAUGAAAACUUAUCGAACUGCUUAAUCACUAAAACAAUGCAUGGUACACGAGGCUACUCAGAAAGUAAUUUCUGUAGGAGGGAGGAUUUUUGGUCAUUGGGUCUAUUGACUUCUUCAAGCCCGCUCUACAAAAAAAGAAAAAAAAGAGAAGAUAAAUAAGAAAUUCAAAGAUAUAAUUAUAUGUAUUUUAAAGAAUAGUUGUACCCUUGAAGCCAGCGAAGCAGAUUGAGGACUAGCUCCUCCCAUAUCUGACAUGCCACUCCACAUUUUAGGACUUUCAGAAACACCAACUGUAAACAAAAACAAAAAAGUUAAAAAUAUUUUUCAUCGUUUGUUUUGCCCACGGUAUAUCCUACUGCUUCUUUAGGUUAGAGUUUUACCUAAUCAUUUUUGGUAAGGUAUGGGCUAUAAUGAAAAGGACGAAACAGUAAUUAGACUAAACUACAUGAAGGAAGGAGUCACGAUAGAGAUGAUGAUAGCCUCAACAUGCCUUAUAACUUAUUGGGCCUCCACCAUUCUCCUGAGCACUGCAGCUUUACAGCUUAUUGUACUCCUUCAUGUCUCCAUUUUUGGGCAGCUCGCAACACGCGAGUGAACUGAGCCCUCUGUGUGCUGAUGUUCUUCCACCAAAACAACACAUUUUUUUCAGAGUCGGGGGAUCCAGGACUAUAAAAUCGAGGGUUGCUUAAAUCCGGUCCCACCCCUGAACCUUCCAUUGAUAAAUGCCGUGUCAACUUUCAUUGCAGCCACCCCCCUAUGCAUCAGACUUAACUUGGUCCUGACUUUUUGUUUCUCGCCCAUUAAAAUUACAUUAAUAAAUUUUAGGUUUUGUAAUUGUAGUUUGUAAGGUAAUAAAAAGCAAAACCCUUAAUCUGA